rnacentral:misc_RNA from 1 species
AAGUCGUAACAAGGUUUCCGUAGGUGAACCCGCGGAAGGAUUAUUAUAGAGAUUGGUUGGGUAACACCUUCCAAACCUCCCACCCUAUGUUUACAUUACCUUUGUUGCUUUGGUAGGCCCGUCUUUGGACCGCCGGCUUCGGCUGGCCAGUGCCUACCAGAGGAUCCAAAGCUCUGUUUAAUUGUAUUGUCUGAGUACUAUAUAAUAGUUAAAA